rnacentral:lncRNA from 1 species
UUACGACGGUAACAAGUCUCAAUGGUGUGGCCAGGACGCUUGCAAUAGUUGCAGAACUUCUUGUUGGUUUGCUUGCGACGAUUGCUAGAGCCAGAAAAAUCACCUAAUUGCUGAGGUUGCUCUAUGAGUGGAGUAGAUGGAGUAAUAGCCAAAAUAUUGAGCUUAUUCUGGGCUUGAAGGGUUGCAAGACGAGCUUCUUCUCUAACCAACUCAUUCACAGCAGUAUCAAGAGAGGGAGCAGGACUGCGAUUUAACAGCUGACCACGAAUGGGCUCAAAGUCCUUGUGAAGUGACAUCAAGAAUUCAUAGAGGCGAAAUUCAUCUCUAAUGGUAGCAUAUUGCUGAGCAUCUGUGGAGCAUCCCCAAGUUGGAUCAGAAAGGUCAAUUUGGUCCCAAAUGAAGCGAAGCUGAUCAUAAUAGUCAUUGAUGGAUUGCCCCGGUUCUUGCCUGAGUUGAUGCAAUUCAACCACUAACUGAUAUUUCAUGGAUCCAUGAGUAGUGGAGUACCUUUUGGUCAACAUAUCCCAUGCAGAUUUUGCAUCGUCAAAGCUGCCCAAUAGGUUGGAAAUAGAGGGAAUGGAAGUGUUCCGGAUCCAUGUGAGGAUCAUGUGGUUAUGACUAUCCCAUUCAAUCAUGCGACUAAGAAAGACAGCAUCUUCUUCACUUGCUCCUUUGACAGGAAUAGUCAUUGCACCAGUACAAUAAUGCCAGAGCAUGCGGCUCUUAAGAAAACUGCGCAUAGCUUGAGACCAGGAUAAGUAAUUUUUAGUCCCCUCCAAUACAGUAUGGAUGGGGCGAGGAAGAAAAACAUCCUUCUUAUCCAUUUAGGGACGCAAUAUGCAAAAACCGACUGCAGAAAUGAAAUCUAUACGAAAAACUGGGUAAGGAGAACCUGGUCGGGGAAAAAGUCAACUGGACGGUCAACGGUCAAGGUUCGGUCAACGGCCAACGGUCAAAGUCAACGGUCAACGGUCAACGCUGGUCAACGGUCA